GCAGAAAACUAGGCCGGAGUGGCGGCCAUGUUUACAAAUGGGAAUGAAUGAAAGCAGAGAAUGAAUGAGUUGGCACGUUGAAGAGAAGAAACCAGGACUGCUAACAGAGAUUUGCUUUUGGAAUUUGUUAUCGCUCGGCGUCUGUGAGACAUCAGAGACCAGCAACGAAGACGGGAACGUGGACGAUGACGGCAGAAAACAAUGGAAUUUGAUUCAGGAUUUAAUAGCAGCAUGUGAAAAUGCGUUCUCUCUGAUAAAAUUCAGCCGUUUAUCCCACCAAACCACGACGUGAAAAUUCCCAAUUUCACGGUCAAUUGAGGACGCGGACGUUUGCAUGUAAACUCCUACGCUCGCUCCAGUAGAACUGAUGUCCUUAGUAUAUUUCUACCUGUCUCUGGCUAUAUUGUUUAGCUAAUUUUAUUGCAGUUAAACUGGAGUAGAUUUUUCAACGCGAGAAGGCACCUUUUUCGAUUUCGUUGUCCUUGCCGUCGCCAUCAAAUGGUCAGGUGAGGUGCAAAGCUUAACCAGAUCAACAGAUCAACAAAAAGCAAUUUUCAUCAGUUCGCACCUUUAUAUCAGUAUUGGUACAAGUACAGCUAUAUCCAUGCCUACUGAUUUCAUUAUUAAUGUAUGUAUUUUUUAUUUCCUUUUUUUUUUUUCAAUAAUUAAUGUAUUUUUCUUUGUGUAAACAAGUGUACAUGACCGAAACCAAAACAAUGUUAUUCGGACGUGGUAUUGAUGAAUGACGUUAAACCUAUCCAUUUUGAAUGAGUGUUUUAAAAACUAAACAAAACGUAUCAGAAUGUGAGUAAUUUUAUGUAUACAUAAGCGUAUGCAUGCACAGUAGAAUUCUGAUAACUCGAAGCCUCGGUUACUCGAAUCUACUCGGGAACACGACAUUAGUUUUCGUAUCAGUACGUUUGCUUUUUAUUAUGUAUAAAAACAAUUUUCACAUGUUCUUGCCUUGAAAAUUUUACGAUGUACAUUUGAACACCACCCGGUUCAAUACUACCGGUAUACAGCACCCCAGUCCAUACUACCGAUAUACAGCACUCAGUCCGUACUACCAGUAUACAGCACCCCGGUCCAUACUACCGAUAUACAGCACCCCGGUCCAUACUACCGAUAUACAGCACCCCGGUCCAUACUACCAGUAUACAGCACCCCGGUCCAUACUACCAGUAUACAGCACCCCGGUCCAUACUACCAGUAUACAGCACCCCGGUCCAUACUACCAGUAUACAACACCCCAGUCCAUACUACCGAUAUACAGCACUCAGUCCGUACUACCAGUAUAAAGCACCCCGGUCCAUACUACCGAUAUACAGCACCCCGGUCCAUACUACGAGUAUACAGCACCCCGGUCCAUACUACCAGUAUACAGCACCCCGGUCCAUACUACCAGUAUACAGCACCCCGUUCCAUACUACCGGUAUACAGCAUCCCGGUCCAUACCGGUAUACACACCCAGUCCAUACUAGUGGUAUACUGCACCCCGGUCCAUACUACCAGUAUACAGCUCCCCGGUCCAUACAACCCGUAUACACCAACUCCCUACAUACCAGUGCAGCCCGGUCCAUACUGGCGUAUCCAUUACAGACCUCCGGUCCAUUAUAUUGGUCUACGGACCAAUGUCAUGAACCGUAUAACUGGAUUAUUACAAUUAAUACUAGCUGCACGCUUGGGGCAGAUUACAUUAUUUAGCGUAGCGCACCGAUAUCUCACUUGAAUCUAGCAAUGGAAUGAUAGAUCUUCUACACCUGUAAACAAGCUUAUGUUUGCGAUAACCACAUCCCUAAUAAAGUCUGAAUGCAUCCGAACCCUUAUCGCCUCUUGAACCGCUAUCUCCUACUCACAUUAGCACAUCAUCAAGUGAAUCCGACAUUUCUCGAUGCAUGAAACCGCUGGGGUUGAUAGCAUGAUAAUUGGUAUCUAAACGCUGGCCACGUAAGAGUAUGUCGCAGGGUUUCUAUUCAGGCAAUAAAAGAUGAUAAAAAACGAAACAUCAGUUUGAUCCUACCUUAGGAUCUCGACAAGAUGGUUUGAUAUGUAGUGUAGUUAGCUGGAUCUUCACGCAUCCCUCGGUGACUAAAGGUUUACACGAACACGUUGACUUUUUUAAGGUUUAGACCGGCUCAGAUCCAUCCACUGACCAGUGAAGGGACUCGCUGUGAUCGAUCGACUUUUAGUUCUUUUUAUGGAAUCCUGGGUCCCUCUGUUGAGAGAUGUAUAAUUCUGAUUUUUAUCGAGAUUUUCACUGCCGCAGGGCACCAAUGAGGGGUCCCACUACUUCGGGAUAUGCGAAUGACUGAACACACGACAGCCAAUCAGAGUCGACUAUAUCCCAACAGACCAUUAAUUAACUCAAGUAACCCUUCUUCCUGCUCUGUUCGGACCGGAUAUUUUUAAGCACAUCUAGCUUGUACAACCUCCUAGCUGUACUUUAUUCCGAAUAAUAAAAUUGUCCAGGGCGUGUAGUUAGAAAGCUAUGUUGUUAAAGAUUGUAGCGGCCACCUCAAAGUUGUUCGAGUAGAUUUAUCAAGAUCUCUUUAGACGGCUCUUUCAGGCAAGGUUGCGACCAAUCUAAACGUUUUGUUUGCUGACAAUCACUAUUUACCUGUCACGACUUUUGACAAUGGCGCCUCUUUUGAGCGAAGUUUAUGCACUAGGAAAAGUUAAUAAGGUCGCUAAGUGGUUUAGUAAAUCCUGCUAAUUUUGUCGGUAAAUUAACGAGAUUAUUUUACUUCUGACGACGGUUGUAAAGCUGCACUCGACAUUAAAGUUUUAUAGUUGUCAUGGUGACACGUUAGAUAUAAAGUUGGUUCUUCGCUAGGGGAGUCCAAAUAUUCCACAAACCUUGAAAUAAGGUUUAAAAGAAUCUUUGCUAGCCGCCAUUUUGUCAUCCUACCAAAAUACUUAGUUGAGAAAGCACCAUUUCCAUCGGCUGAUUAAGGGAAACUUCUGCUUUAUUAUAGGUUUAAUUGGUAAAUUAAGUAUAAAUCUUUAUUUGUAGAUGGUUAUUUCGAAAUUUCAUCACAUGAAUUUUCUUCCACGGUCAAAUGAAAACAACGGUAUGGCUGGUUAAGGCUUUUUAAUAUUCAUGGCUCUUCAAUAGUACCGCUGACCCAUUGUUUGGCUAGAGGCCUUUACUUUCCCGUAGCAGACUUACAUCAAACUUUUUAUACAGCCGUUUGUAUUCUUUACCAAGAGAGCAUAUCUUAUGCUCUCUUGUCCUUACUUAGUCCCCUCGCCCCUGCUACCGCUAUUUUCUUCGGGCUCCCUUGUUGUAAAGGUCACACAGUCAGCCCGAAACUAAAAGCGGUUGCAAAGAUAGACCACGUGACGAUCGGUAUGGUUUGGGCAUUUAAUCGUUUUUCCCUUUUAUCUAAAAUGGUAUUGCAAUAGCCUCGACUAAUUGUUUUUUUUAUGGCGGUACUCAAUGUUGUGUGAGCGGACAAUUUCGGUGCCACAGAAAGAGGAAACUUGCUCCCCAGGCAGCCACUCCAUGACAGACAGACCACUUGAGUCUACGAACUGAGAUAUGGUGCGCCGUUUCCUAAAAAGGUAUGUAUGACAGGGGUGCUUGGUGUGAUGGCCACCCGCCGCCAACACGAGAACACGCCAAAAAUAGUACUGAUCGCUAUUUAUCUUGGCUUUUCCCUCGCCGCUUUUAUCCUUGCUUUCGCCUUGACUGGCUGCUACGGCUUCGCGGUACCCGAUCUCCUCAACAGAUCCGAAUGCUCGACAAACAGUGAUUAUAAACCAUCCGGGCACCCGGAGUACAACCUGCACCCGUCAUUCCACCGCCUGGGGGCGCCAAGCGGGCCUCAGUGCAAGACGAAGCUUGCCCUGGUCGCCAUCAUAGUCUUCCUGGCCAUGGUGGAACUUGGUGUUAGCCUGUGGGCCAUAAUCUGCUGCUGCAAGGCCGGCAGGUGCUUUGAACCGCUGCCCCGCUUCGAUGUGGUCUUUGACAAAAGUGAAACGACCACAACCUACCGACGGGUGGACCACGAGGAGGACUUGCUUCUGGUUCGUGACGGGGAAAGCAUGGUGUAGAGAAUGGUUUUAUACGCGAAGGAAAAGAGAGAAUGCUUAGAAAAGACUUCCAAAAUACCCUUGGCGCCUCUACAGAGGCUAGUCGCAUCACCGGCUUGCAUCGGCAUUAUUCGUCAAGUCUUCGGGCUUACUUCGCGCGUCUUCCGGCUCACUUUGGCCGUUCGGCGACUUUUCGAGAACCUUUUGAAUCCAGGGUAAUUUAUGAAAGAGCUAAUGGAAAAUGAAGUGCACGAUGACUAAAAUCGCAAAACGAUGGUAUCUGAAUAGACAAAGGACCGUGCAUCGCCUGCAACAACGUCAUAGGCAUGACGUCAUAGGCGGCAUGAUGCUUAUAAAGAAAAGAGGGGAAUCAACAGCACAGAGUGAAAAAAAUGUUGACAUAACAGGCAUAGUCUGUUUCUUUUUCUUAUUGUCUUUUUCUUAUUGUUUAAAAAAGUUCUGAUUUUUCUGUUCAUCGUCAUACAUAUCCUGCAAUAUAGCAUCUCAACAGCAAUCAAAAUGUCUUGUCAUUGACGUACAUUUUUUUUUAAUGAAAAGAAAGAAAAUAAUAUUA